GCCUAGUUAGCUUGGAGGGUGGUGCGCCUGCCUUGUAAGCGCUAGAUCGCGGGUUCGAUUCCCGCCCGGGGCG
rfam:Asian citrus Psyllid, Diaphorina citri - Florida Strain, whole genome shotgun sequence.